UACAGAGGUCUCAAGCGUUGUUCGGAUUCAUUGGACGUAAAGGGUGCGUAGGCGGCGCGGUAAGUCGGAUGUGAAAUCUCGGGGCUUAACUCCGAAACUGCAUUCGAUACUGCCGUGCUUGAGGACUGGAGAGGAGACUGGAAUUUACGGUGUAGCGGUGAAAUGCGUAGAUAUCGUAAGGAAGACCAGUGGCGAAGGCGGGUCUCUGGACAGUUCCUGACGCUGAGGCACGAAGGCCAGGGGAGCAAACGGG
rnacentral:rRNA from 1 species